rnacentral:rRNA from 1 species
AUACGAACGAGACCCUAACCUGCUAAACGGCCCGAGAAAAGGCGAUUAGACGGCUGGAUCUUACUUACGCCCGCGGGCUUAAACAGAGAGGGAAGGUGAAGGCGUUCCCCGCCCGGGGAUCCCUGCUUCCUUUCGGGCACGCCACCGAGUCCGCCGUGGCUACCCGUAAGUUGUUUCCCGUGCCUUUCGCGUUCCUGGUGCGGCAGAAACGGCCGGCCCGUAUGUGUGUGUGUGUUGCAAUGUGCGCGCAAACACUGUGAUCUCAGCGCGUGUGCUGGUGGGGCGCGCCCGCUGCGGGUUUGCCCCCUCUGCGUUGCUAUGGGUACGCGUUCGUGCGUCGCGUGCCUUCUUGCGCGUAGACAAAUCUUUGUUUCUUCAUAUAUGUAGGUAUUGGCGACUCUAAGUCAGUCGUCGAGAGAGAGAGCAACUAGAACAUGUCUGUGAUGUCCUUAGAUGCUCUGGGCCGCACGCUAGCUGACACUGGCGGGUAGAGCGGGUUAAUUACUUCCUUCAGCCGAGGGGGGCGGGUAACCCUCUGAACUCCCUUCCGAGGACGCGCUUGCGUGCGGGGAGUCCCCUCCCUCAGCGCUUGCGUGUCUCUGGGCUCGAUUGGGCCUGGGGUUUGCAAUUAUUUCCCACAAACGAGGAAUGCCUUGUAUUGGCUAAUCACGGAGCUUGCAGCGACUCAGUCCCUGCCCUUUGUACACACCGCCCGUCGCUACUACCGAUUGAGUGUACCAGUGAGAGUCUUGGACUGGCGAACCUUCUCUCGUCUCGAGUAAUGGAAACACGAAGGCGAACGACGGAAAGAGAUUCGAACUGGUGCACUUAGAGGAAGUAAAA